ACUCCAGUGACUGCCUCUCAGAAAAGAACAGGGUAAUGUCCAUUCUCCUUUUAUUUUCUUUAAGCACCUGAUCAUUCUAAAAGCAUGUGUUCCUCUGUGUGUGUGAGUUAUGUACACGUGUGUGUGUUUUCCUUUCUUUUCUCGGACUCCAGGCUCAUGACUGCUUAUUUGCAUGGUGUUUUGGUGUCAAAGGAGCGUUGAAUGUCUUCUCCAUAUACCCAGCUUUAUUCCACUCUAGGAGUUUAACUUCUUCAACAUUGUUAUGAGGUCCCUGGUGACCUCAGUUUCUCCUCUCCGCGUCAUCCAGGACUUCAUCUGAAGCUUGAGCUACAUGUAAGACUUCAUCUACCUUGCACAGGGCAAUGGAGAGAGGAUGGCAUACCAGAAUCAGCAGAUGACAGACAUCGGGGUGCUGUCGGACCCGGGAAUCAGAACCUCUGCAGAUAGAUAUUUUGGAAGGCACUCCCUAGAUUGGCACCUCUGAUUCCUGCAAGUAGACUGACAGCCGCAUGUUUGCAGGAAAGUUAAAUAUUUUGACAGCGCAGAAGACUGCUGCAUCUGGAGGGUUCUGGGUCC
rnacentral:lncRNA from 1 species